AACGAACGCUGGCGGCAUGCCUAACACAUGCAAGUCGAACGAGAUCUUCGGGUCUAGUGGCGCACGGGUGCGUAACGCGUGGGAAUCUGCCCUUUGGUUCGGGAUAACAGUUGGAAACGACUGCUAAUACCGGAUGAUGACGAAAGUCCAAAGAUUUAUCGCCAGAGGAUGAGCCCGCGUAGGAUUAGCUAGUUGGUGUGGUAAAGGCGCACCAAGGCGACGAUCCUUAGCUGGUCUGAGAGGAUGAUCAGCCACACUGGGACUGAGACACGGCCCAGACUCCUACGGGAGGCAGCAGUGGGGAAUAUUGGACAAUGGGCGAAAGCCUGAUCCAGCAAUGCCGCGUGAGUGAUGAAGGCCUUAGGGUUGCAAAGCUCUUUUACCCGGGAUGAUAAUGACAGUACCGGGAGAAUAAGCUCCGGCUAACUCCGUGCCAGCCGCCGCGGUAA
rnacentral:rRNA from 1 species